AGAGGUUGAAGAUAACAGAGGUUGAGGAUGCUGAUGUUUAAAGAAGAAAGCCGUUAUUAGUAACGGCUAGUAUUAGCCAACGACACCGUUUCAUUAUAAAAGAAAGAAAGAAAUUAAAAGAAGAAAAAUGGUGUCGCACAGCUAAUAAACGCAAGUGUCAAAACACAUGCAGUACACUUUCUCCUUGCUGAUAACAAAAACAGUUGAGGAGUUGCACAUCUGUUACAGAGAAUGUAGAGAGAGAAAGAUGAGUUGUAACAGAUUUUAAGAGCUAAAUUUUAUGUGUCAUUGGUGUCCGUAAAGGAAUAUAAAUAAUUGUAUAAGAGAAUCUUGUGUUAAGUUAGUUUUUGGUGAAUUCUUCUCUAUUCAGUAUUGUAAUCUUGCUCUGUUUUUAGUUCUUCUCUUGUAACUGUCGUUCUCUUCAUCCUCUUAUUGAAUAAAAUGUAUUCAGUCAAGUUUCUU